CAAGGAGGAAGGCCGCCAGGUUCAGAGCUUCAAACGGAGCCUCUUCCAGCAGGGAGCCGUGGGAGCGCCGCGCUGCUGCACACACACCGGCGUGCACACCUUGCACUGCUUGCACACGAAACCUCCUUGCACGCGUGCACCUCUGCACCCGCACCCGGAGCAGCUCUGCAUGUGCUCGCGCUCACACCCGCACACUGUUUGCAAACGCUCUCGCAAGCGCGUGCACGGAUGCACCUUUGCAAGUGGAUGCGUGCGCUCGUGGGCACCCAUGCACGUUUGCACGUGGGCGUAUGUGUGCACACGUGCUCCAUGCACACACGCUCAUGCACAUGUGCUCCGUGCACACAUGCUCCAUGCACACAUGCUCCAUGCACACAUGCUCCAUGCACAUGUUUUCCAUGCACACGUGCUCAUGCACACAUGCUCCAUGCACACAUGCCCCAUGCACACACGCUCCAUGCACACACGCCCCAUGCUCACACACUCCAUGCACACGUGCUCCAUGCACACACGCUCCAUGCACACACGCCCCAUGCACACGUGCUCCAUGCACACAUGCUCCAUGCACACGUGCUCCAUGCACACACGCCCCAUGCACACACGCCCCAUGCACACACACCGCAUGCACACAUGCUCCAUGCACACGUGCUCCAUGCACACACGCUCCAUGCACACACGCUCCAGCCCCUCUUUGCACAACCACUCAGCGUGCCCUGCUGUGUUUGCUGCAGGUGCUGAGCGACAGCGAUACCCCCAAAGACGAUGGUGAUGAUGGUGAUGAUGGUGAUGAUGAUGAAGAGGAAGGCAGCUGCUCCGUAAGGCUCCGCAGAACUCUGGCAUCCGAACUCAACCGCGGCGAUGCUCUGCAGGGCUGCAGCUUUAACCCCUCCCGCUCUGCUCCCAGUGGGGCAACCAAACCUGGGGGGCACCGCGGCCCCAAACUGGGGGCAGGGUGACGUCGGUACUUCCCAUCCCCAUCUCUUCCCAUCCCUUUCCCGACCCUUUUUAUCCCUCGGGUUGAUAGAAGCCAACCCCCUUCUCUCUGCUCCACCCCACCCAGGGCCACCUCCCCAUCCCCAGGGGGUCCCCCCGUGUCCCCCCCCCGCUCCCCAUGGGCCACCAGCCCUGCUCACACCCCAUGAGCGCCCUGCAGCAGGAAGAGAAGCGACGCCAACGGCCGUUGGAUGGGAAGGAAGGCUCUCCAGCCCCCCCAGGCAUCAGCGCUCAAAUGAAUGGGAAGGGAAAGUCCUGGUGGGUAAACAACCCCAGGACUUCCCAGUGGAGCACAGCCAAGGGGGGGAUUAUCCUGGAUUAACCACCAGCCCCUCCGGGACCGGCCCUGGCUCUCACCACAGCCCUUCCCUGUGGGAUCUGUAUGGGAUCCGUACGGCAACCCCAACCUGGGGGGCGCACGGAGAGGUUGGGGUCCCCCCUUGGCCGCCUCCCCACUCCCCUCGCUCUGCCUGCUCCUGGCUCCUGGGCUGAAGAUGGGAUUACAUCUCCUCCAGCCCCAGGAUGUGUCCUGGAUGGGGCUGUGUGAAGCCAUGGCGAUGGGCUGCCCACCCCCUGGGGACACCCACGGGCACCUCAUCCCACCCAGUGGUCGGUGGGGUCGGGUAGGGGACACAGAGGGACACCUCCACGCUGCAGAGCCCAGGAGCUGCUCAUCAUUCCAUCCCAUGCAUACACUGCAGUCCUCGGUGCUGCCAGGACCCCAAGUGGGGCUUUUGGGGCCGGUGCCGAAUUAACCCGGCGGGACGGAGCGUCCCAUAAGAGGUGCCCUACAAUCAAGGAGCUCCUCUCGGAAUGGAGGAGCAACGCCAAAGUGGUGGUGGUGGUGGUGGUGGGGGGGAUCGUGGGGGUCUCCUAUCCAAACCCUGCGCUGAGCCCCACCGCAAAGGGGCUGAGAUGUGUUGGAGACCCCCCCCCUUAAGCAGCACCAAAAGGGUUUUGCAGCACAGAGGAGAAGCAAAGCAGGACAGCACAGAGCAGGGGCACAGCAUGGGUGUACACGUGGGGACGCACAGCCAUCACUCGGCUCCUUUGCUCUCUGCCCACACCCUGCAGCCCAAACCUUCCCCCCCCCCCCCUCCAGAAGUUCCCCUCCUUUCUCCUGCAUUAUUUCCCUGCCAUUUCAGCCCCGUUCUCUCCGCUUCUGCUGGAGGUCUGAGGGCGCUCAGGUGGAUCCUGACGGGCCACGCUCCGCUGCCUCCAUCCCUGCAAGACGUGAGGAUGGAGCUGAUGGCUGCGGGUGGGGAUGCCGCCCUGCAGCUGUCUGAAACACGAAGCAAAUCCCUUCCUCCCCAUUGCACAACUCACUCCUGGACAGGGUUUGUAUGCGAAGCAGCGUGGGAUUAUUCAUCCACCCCCUCCCUGUGUUCGUGCCCUUCCCUGGGCGCACCAACCUUCCCCAGGCAUUUAAAUGGGGGGAGAUGCUCUGAGCUCCAUCCACAUCCCCACGAUGGGAGGAGGAGACGCUCUGCCCCGCGCCACGGAGUGCACGGGGGAUAUGGGGUAUAAUGGGAGGGUAUGGGGUAUAAUAGGAGGGUAUGGGGUGUCCCGGGGAUGCGGGUAGCAGCCACUCAAUGCUUUGGAAUCGUUCCCACACGUGCAGCCCUGGGGGACCGGGAGGGUUUGGGUCGGCUCCAUCCGCUCUGUGCUCCCCCAGGGGCUGCAGGGCUGAUCCCCUCUAAUCCCACACUGGCUCAGUGCCCGGGCUCAGCGCCUUCCCACCACCCCAUCCCCUCGGAUUAUUGGUGCCCGUUGCCUUCAUAAGGGGCAGAAGGGAGCCUGGGCUCAUCCUGGGGCUGCGGUCACCGCCUGAGCUCCGUGGGGACGAUGAAGCCGUACGCAGUGCUGCUGCUGGCGGGGCUGGCCUGCUGCCUGGCUGCGGGCUUGCCCGUCAAUGAGACGCCGGCCGUGGGGCAAGACGCGAAGGUGAGCGGCAGAGCUGCCGAAGGAGCGCUGGUGGAUUUGGCUGACGUGGUGGAGAGCCUCCUGCGCUCCCUGGGGGACACCCUGGCCGGGGCAGUCCGACUGCUGAUAGGGGGAAAAGAGAAAUAGCUGGCGUGGUGAGCGCCGAACUGCCCUGCUGGGGAC
ensembl:lncRNA